UGGGAAUAUUGGACAAUGGGCGAAAGCCUGAUCCAGCAAUGCCGCGUGAGUGAUGAAGGCCUUAGGGUUGUAAAGCUCUUUUACCCGGGAUGAUAAUGACAGUACCGGGAGAAUAAGCUCCGGCUAACUCCGUGCCAGCAGCCGCGGUAAUACGGAGGGAGCUAGCGUUGUUCGGAAUUACUGGGCGUAAAGCGCACGUAGGCGGCUUUGUAAGUUAGAGGUGAAAAGCCUGGAGCUCAACUCCAGAAUUGCCUUUAGGACUGCAUCGCUCGAAUCCAGGAGAGGUGAGUGGAAUUCCGAGUGUAGAGGUGAAAUUCGUAGAUAUUCGGAAGAACACCAGUGGCGAAGGCGGCUCACUGGACUGGUAUUGACGCUGAGGUGCGAAAAGCGUGGGGAGCAAAACAGGAUUAGAUACCCUGGUAGUCCACGCCGUAAACGAUGAUAACUAGCUGUCCGGGGACUUGGUCCCUGGGUGGCGCAGCUAACGCAUUAAGUUAUCCGCCUGGGGAGUACGGCCGCAAGGUUAAAACUUAAAGGAAUUGACGGGGUCAUAGCUGUUUCCU
rnacentral:rRNA from 1 species